rnacentral:rRNA from 1 species
AUUGAACGCUGGCGGAAUGCUUUACACAUGCAAGUCGAACGGCAGCACGGACUUCGGUCUGGUGGCGAGUGGCGAACGGGUGAGUAAUGUAUCGGAACGUGCCCAGUCGUGGGGGAUAACGUAGUGAAAAUUACGCUAAUACCGCAUACGAUCUAUGGAUGAAAGCGGGGGAUCGCAAGACCUCGCGCGAUUGGAGCGGCCGAUAUCAGAUUAGGUAGUUGGUGGGGUAAGGGCCCACCAAGCCAACGAUCUGUAGCUGGUCUGAGAGGACGACCAGCCACACUGGAACUGAGACACGGUCCAGACGCCUACGGGAGGCAGCAGUGGGGAAUUUUGGACAAUGGGCGAAAGCCUGAUCCAGCCAUUCCGCGUGCAGGAUGAAGGCCCUCGGGUUGUAAACUGCUUUUGUACAGAACGAAAAGGUUUCUACUAAUACUAGGAGCUCAUGACGGUACUGUAAGAAUAAGCACCGGCUAGCUACGUGCCAGCCGCCACAGUAA